GAUGAACGCUGGCGGCGUGCCUAAUACAUGCAAGUCGAGCGAACAGACGAGGAGCUUGCUCCUCUGACGUUAGCGGCGGACGGGUGAGUAAAACGUGGAUAACCUACCUAUAAGACUGGGAUAACUUCGGGAAACCGGAGCUAAUACCGGAUAAUAUAUUGAACCGCAUGGUUCAAUAGUGAAAGACGGUUUUGCUGUCACUUAUAGAUGGAUCCGCGCCGCAUUAGCUAGUUGGUAAGGUAACGGCUUACCAAGGCAACGAUGCGUAGCCGACCUGAGAGGGUGAUCGGCCACACUGGAACGGAAACACGGCCCAGACUCCUACGGGAGGCAGCAGAAGGGAAUCUUCCGCAAUGGGCGAAAGCCUGACGGAGCAACGCCGCGUGAGUGAUGAAAGUCUUCGGAUCGUAAAACUCUGUUAUUAGGGAAGAACAAAUGUGUAAGUAACUAUGCACGUCUUGACGGUACCUAAUCAGAAAGCCACGGCUAACUACGUG
rnacentral:rRNA from 1 species